CCUACGGGAGGCAGCAGUAGGGAAUCUUCCACAAUGGGCGAAAGCCUGAUGGAGCAACGCCGCGUGGGUGAAGAAGGUCUUCGGAUCGUAAAACCCUGUUGUUAGAGAAGAAAGUGCGUGAGAGUAACUGUUCACGUUUCGACGGUAUCUAACCAGAAAGCCACGGCUAACUACGGGCCAGCAGCCGCGGUAAUACGUAGGUGGCAAGCGUUAUCCGGAUUUAUUGGGCGUAAAGGGAACGCAGGCGGUCUUUUAAGUCUGAUGGGAAAGCCUUCGGCUUAACCGGAGUAGUGCAUUGGAAACUGGGAGACUUGAGUGCAGAAGAGGAGAGUGGAACUCCAUGUGUAGCGGUGAAAUGCGUAGAUAUAUGGAAGAACACCAGUGGCGAAAGCGGCUCUCUGGUCUGUAACUGACGCUGAGGUUCGAAAGCGUGGGUAGCAAACAGGAUUAGAUACCCGGGUAGUC
rnacentral:rRNA from 1 species